rnacentral:rRNA from 1 species
CGUAAGCGCACGCAGGCGGUCUGUUAAGUCAGAUGUGAAAUCCCCGGGCUUAACCUGGGAACUGCAUUUGAAACUGGCAGGCUUGAGUCUUGUAGAGGGGGGUAGAAUUCCAGGUGUAGCGGUGAAAUGCGUAGAGAUCUGGAGGAAUACCGGUGGCGAAGGCGGCCCCCUGGACAAAGACUGACGCUCAGGUGCGAAAGCGUGGGGAGCAAACAGGAUUAGAUACCCUGGUAGUCCACGCCGUAAACGAUGUCGACUUGGAGGUUGUUCCCUUGAGGAGUGGCUUCCGGAGCUAACGCGUUAAGUCGACCGCCUGGGGAGUACGGCCGCAAGGUUAAAACUCAAAUGAAUUGACGGGGGCCCGCACAAGCGGUGGAGCAUGUGGUUUAAUUCGAUGCAACGCGAAGAACCUUACCUACUCUUGACAUCCACGGAAUUUGGCAGAGAUGCCUUAGUGCCUUCGGGAACCGUGAGACAGGUGCUGCAUGGCUGUCGUCAGCUCGUGUUGUGAAAUGUUGGGUUAAGUCCCGCAACGAGCGCAACCCUUAUCCUUUGUUGCCAGCGAUUCGGUCGGGAACUCAAAGGAGACUGCCGGUGAUAAACCGGAGGAAGGUGGGGAUGACGUCAAGUCAUCAUGNNNNNUACGAGUAGGGCUACACACGUGCUACAAUGGCGCAUACAAAGAGAAGCGACCUCGCGAGAGCAAGCGGANNUCACAAAGUGCGUCGUA